CACAUUUACUGACAGAGACACACUCAGUGACAGACAUACAUACACACUCACAAAACAUACACUUUCACUGACAAACACACACUAACAGACAUCAGACACACUCAGUAACAGACACACCCAAUAAGACACACUAACACACACACACUAACACAUCAUUUUUUUUUUUUUAAAUGUAAUCUCCCAGCCUCCUUACCUUUUGGAGUGCUGGGGGGAUUCCCUGGGGUCCAGUGGUGGUGCUGCUGGGCUCCUGGGUGGGCAUCUGACGUCAUCUUCCAGCUCUGGUAUCAGUGCGGUGCGCGAGGGAGCUGAAGAGGAAGCACUCAGGGGAGAGUGCUCCCUCGCGCGCCGGCCACCCAGACAGCCAGCCCACCGGGGUCAGCAGGGCCAGCCUAGG